GUGAUCCAGCCACCUCGGCCUCCCAAAGUGCUGGGAUUACAGGCGUGAGCCACCACGCCCAGCCUUGUUGUUUUCUUUUUAAGAGGGUGGGGAGAGGCAGAGGCAAGUGGAAUUGGAACCAGGACCUAAAGUCGGCUCCUUUUGCAGCUUGGCUUCUGGGUGGGGUUGAUGUCUGAGGGUGGGACCCCAGGGAUCCAAGACAGAAGAAAAGCCAGUGUUUCCACUCCCACCUCGCCCUCACCCCAGACAAGCAGUGUGCUCACUCCGCCUUCCACCUUCUGCCAUGGGAUGACCCUCCCCAGACGCUGAUGCCACGUUUUUGGACUUCUCUGCCUCCAGAACUGUGAGAAAUAAGUUUCUUUUUUUAUAACUUACCCAGUCUGUAGUAUUCUGUUAACAGCAGAAAACAUCAGGUGAGGCCAGAACUCUGAUGCCGCCCUUGACAUCACCUUAGUUCCCUCCUGACUGGAUCAGUAUGAUGUCAAAUUAAUUGCAAUGGUGGGUACUUACUAAUUUGCAUUUACUUUUCAUUACAACAUAUCCCACAGGAUUCCAGGGACCUGGGAUGGUCUGUAUUCUUGGCAGUUCUCAAGAUCUACGAGUCUUAUUUCCUGUUAACUUUUUUCCUUUUGCUUGAUCCUAUCGGGCACAUGGAUCUUCCUAAAGUUUUGAUUCUGUAAUUAGUGCUACCAUAAAAAACUGUACAAUUUUGGAGAGUGUUUUU
rnacentral:lncRNA from 1 species